rnacentral:ncRNA from 2 species
AAUACCUGCGGGAAUGAAGUACUCCCUUGGGUAACCUAAACCGCUUAUUGAAGCUGAUGACUUCUGUGAUUUU